UACAUUAGAUAGCCUACUUUAAAAGGUGGGUGAAUUACUAACCGGUUUCAGCAUCUCAACCUCAGAGUUUUCUGAUACCACUUUCCUAUUCAAAACACGCGCUUCUGUUUGUAAGUCGCCUAUCAUCUGAACUACGGGUUGCAGAAUGGAUGACGACGCUGAUGAAAUCGCCGUUGUUGGCAUUGGCUGCAAUUUUCCGGGAGGAGAGGGAUUGGACCACUUCUGGGAUGUACUUCGGAAUGCGAAGAACUGUACGGUUGAGAUUCCAAACGAGAGGUUUGACCACUCCUACUGGUGUGACCAAGAUGAUAACAAACCUGGGAAAUCUCGUGCCUCUAAAGCUGCACUCAUUCAUGUGUAAUUUAACACUUUUUAUUAAACCAUAUCUAAAUAUCAUCAUCAUUUUCAUUGUAUGAUGAUAGCGCCUUUUGCGUCGCUUGGAGGCGCCUUGCAUCGCUGCCCGUGCUGCAUCCGCUGCCAUCCGCAGUCUCUCAUGAUGAUUUAACACCCAGUCAUCCAGAUUCUCUGACCCACUGUCGUCGAAAUCCAUUCCCCCAAGAAUAUCUCUUGGCAGUCACGCAUCUCUGCCAAAAAGCAAAUAGAACGGAGAGUAACCCGUAGAUGAAUGAAUGUGGCUAUUGUAUGCCAUCACCAGUUCAGGCAGGUGCUCUUUCAAGUUCUUCUUCUUGUUAGCUUGGAGGGACCGCAGCAUGUUGUGCAUAAUGCAAUUAAAUCUUUCGCACUGAGA